UACGUAGGGGGCAAGCGUUGUCCGGAAUCAUUGGCGUAAAGAGCGUGUAGGCGGCUCGGUAAGUCCGCUGUGAAAGUCCAGGGCUCAACCCUGGAAUGCCGGUGGAAACUGUCGGGCUAGAGUCCGGAAGAGGGCGAGUGGAAUUCCUGGUGUAGCGGUGAAAUGCGCAGAUAUCAGGAGGAACACCAAUGGCGAAGGCAGCUCGCUGGGACGGUACUGACGCUGAGACGCGAAGCGUGGGGAGCAAACAGG
rnacentral:rRNA from 1 species